UACCAGCACCCCGAGUGGUCGGGACGUUUAUUGGGCCUAAAGCGUUCGUAGCCGGUUCUACAAGUCUUCCGUUAAAUCCAACUGCUUAACAGGUGGGCUGCGGAAGAUACUAUAGAGCUAGGAGGCGGGAGAGGCAAGCGGUACUCGAUGGGUAGGGGUAAAAUCCGUUGAUCCAUUGAAGACCACCAGUGGCGAAGGCGGCUUGCCAGAACGCGCUCGACGGUGAGGGAUGAAAGCUGGGGGAGCAAACCGG
rnacentral:rRNA from 1 species